CUCGAAGGGUGGCAUGCGGCAAUGUCUGGGACCAGCGAGGAAGAUGACCGGUGUACAUCCUUUGGUAUAAAGUUGAAGACAUGGUGAGUCUUGUGGCGCGAAGCCAACAACACGCAGCGGCAAGUCGAGCACACUGGCCUGAGCCGCAAUACACCAACACCAUCAGCUUCAUGACGAAGUAAAAUAAAAGCUUAUGACAGAAGAAACAUGCUUUGAUAGGCGUCCUUGUCGACCUCGCAGUCUCCAACCCAUCCUUAGGUACCAUCAGCUAUGACCCUAAUGGACCCCGAAUAAAAAGGAGAAAACAUUUGACACUUAUCAUGGCCAACCAUGAAACCGUGUUUCAGAAACUGCAUCAUAGCACAUAUUUCAACAAUCGUUUCCUGGUUUGUAAUAUGUACUAGCCUUCUGAAAAAGACUGAGGCUGCACUUGUUCCUGCCAGGUUGUCAUGUUACAAAAAGGCCUAUCUACAAAUAGGUGGACAAGAUAAAACAUUAAAAAUAGACUAGAGCACUUUCCAUCUCCAUUGAUAAGAAAUAGUGGCAUGAUUGAAGGGCGAGACUACCAGCUGGUGAAGGAGAGGAUGUAUUCGGCGUGUCCUGAAGAGGUAGUCCACGAACCGGCAA